rnacentral:rRNA from 1 species
UACAUGGGGUGCAAACGUUGCUCGGAAUUAUUGGGCGUAAAGAGCUCGUAGGCGGUUUGUCGCGUCUGCUGUGAAAACGCGAGGCUCAACCUCGCGCCUGCAGUGGGUACGGGCAGACUAGAGUGCGGUAGGGGAGAUUGGAAUUCCUGGUGUAGCGGUGAAAUGCGCAGAUAUCAGGAAGAACACCCGUGGCUAAGGCGGCUCUCUAGUACGGUACUGACGCUGAGACGCGAAAGCGUGGGGAGCGAACAGG